rnacentral:rRNA from 1 species
UACGGAGGGUGCAAGCGUUAUCCGGAUUCACUGGGUUUAAAGGGUGCGUAGGCGGCUUGAUAAGUCAGUGGUGAAAGCCGAUCGCUUAACGAUCGAACUGCCAUUGAUACUGCCAGGCUUGAGUAUAGAUGAGGUAGGCGGAAUUGACAGUGUAGCGGUGAAAUGCAUAGAUAUUGUCAAGAACACCAAUUGCGAAGGCAGCUUACUAAGUUAUAACUGACGCUGAGGCACGAAAGUGCGGGGAUCAAACAGG